AUUGAACGCUGGCGGCAUGCCUUACACAUGCAAGUCGAACGGUAACAGGUUAAGCUGACGAGUGGCGAACGGGUGAGUAAUAUAUCGGAACGUGCCCAGUCGUGGGGGAUAACUGCUCGAAAGAGCAGCUAAUACCGCAUACGACCUGAGGGUGAGAGCGGGGGAUCGCAAGACCUCGCGCGAUUGGAGCGGCCGAUAUCAGAUUAGGUAGUUGGUGGGGUAAAAGCCUACCAAGCCAACGAUCUGUAGCUGGUCUGAGAGGACGACCAGCCACACUGGGACUGAGACACGGCCCAGACUCCUACGGGAGGCAGCAGUGGGGAAUUUUGGACAAUGGGCGCAAGCCUGAUCCAGCCAUGCCGCGUGCGGGAAGAAGGCCUUCGGGUUGUAAACCGCUUUUGUCAGGGAAGAAAAGGUUCUGGCUAAUAUCCGGGACUCAUGACGGUACCUGAAGAAUAAGCACCGGCUAACUACGUGCCAGCCGCCGCCGUAAUAC
rnacentral:rRNA from 1 species